GCAAAACGCGAAGAACCUUACCUACUCUUGACAUCCACGGAACUUUUCAGAGAUGAAUUGGUGCCUUCGGGAACCGUGAGACAGGUGCUGCAUGGCUGUCGUCAGCUCGUGUUGUGAAAUGUUGGGUUAAGUCCCGCAACGAGCGCAACCCUUAUCCUUUGUUGCCAGCGGUUAGGCCGGGAACUCAAAGGAGACUGCCAGUGAUAAACUGGAGGAAGGUGGGGAUGACGCCAAGUCAUCAUGGCCCUUACGAGUAGGGCUACACACGUGCUACAAUGGCGCAUACAAAGAGAAGCGACCUCGCGAGAGCAAGCGGACCUCAUAAAGUGCGUCGUAGUCCGGAUUGGAGUCUGCAACUCGACUCCAUGAAGUCGGAAUCGCUAGUAAUCGUAGAUCAGAAUGCUACGGUGAAUACGUUCCCGGGUCUUGUACACACCG
rnacentral:rRNA from 1 species